GGAGGGUUACUCAAGUGGUCGAAGAGGCGUGACUCGAAAUCUCGUAGGCCGGUAACUCCGGUGCUAGGGUUCAAAUCCCUAACCCUCCGCCA
rnacentral:tRNA from 1 species